GCACCUACGGGAGGCAGCAGUGGGGAAUAUUGCACAAUGGGGGAAACCCUGAUGCAGCGACGCCGCGUGAGUGAAGAAGUAUUUCGGUACGUAAAGCUCUAUCAGCAGGGAAGAAAAAUGACGGUACCUGACUAAGAAGCCCCGGCUAACUACGUGCCAGCAGCCGCGGUAAUACGUAGGGGGCAAGCGUUAUCCGGAUUUACUGGGUGUAAAGGGAGCGUAGACGGCUGUGCAAGUCUGAUGUGAAAACCCGGGGCCCAACCCCGGGAGUGCAUUGGACACUGCCAGGCUGGAGAGUCGGAGGG
rnacentral:rRNA from 1 species